AGACAAGUAGCAAACGUGGUGAAUGCGCCCCGCUGAAAACGGGAAGAUUGUGGUUCGACUCCACACUUGUCUG
rnacentral:tRNA from 1 species